AUAUGCUAUGAAAAUCAGUGCCUUCCUUCUCCAGCAUAUAACUUGCAAAUAUUUUCUCCCAUUCUGUAGAUGGUCUUUUCAUUCAUGCUUUUGUCCCCCAGAAGAAAUGUUUCAGUUUGAUGACGUCCCACGUGUUUAGUUUGGCUUUUGCUGCCUGGCCACUUGGUGUCCUGUGAUGUGGUAUUUUGAACACGGAGACUAAGCAACUCCCGGCCGUUCUGGAGCUCUGCCGGAGGACUCCAGGCUCCGCUCGACGGACAGCAGAGAUGGUCGUGCAGGUAGAGCGCAGCUACAAGAUGCUUGCCGUAAUCACACAGGAAAGCAAUGGAUUUUGCACUGGGUGCAUCAGUGAGAUCCCGGACAUAUGAUCGCCUGUAAAUCUUCUCUGUGGAGAGAAGAUGGGGACUAAGGCUUAUUGAUUACCUGCCGCGUGCCAGACCCUCCAGGAGAAAGGAUUUACGUGUGUUCUGUCGACGCAACCUGUAUUAGUUCUCCGUCUACGCGCACUCUCACCCGUCAGGUGCAGGCACACAUACCAGCUACCUGUUGUCUAGGCAGAGGACUCUCUGACCCGGCGUGUCAAAGUGCUGUGUACACCAGGGAGCAAAUUGUUUGGACUCUUUCUGAAAUGGGACUCAGCCCAGCACCGCACACACAGUUUUAUUAGGGAGCACUGAGGAAGAAGAUUGCCAGUGUGUGCGACGGAGACGGCCAGGGUGGGGGGGUUACUUUUAUUUAACAGAAGUAAGAGGUGCUCUGGCCCAGGCCCCCGGCACUGCCAUUUCCGGUCAGAUGUUUGGAAGAGGCCUGCUGGGCUGUGCAGGUCUGCGUCUCCGUGCACUCCCUGCACUCGGUCCCAUUCAACCAGGAGCCUCAGACGUCUGCCUCUCACUUUCCCUUUGAGCACGCCUUCCUUUAAGAACCUACUUGAAGGACUUCCUCUUCCCGACGUUGGCAUGAGAAGGAAUUGAUAAGGGGAGAGCGGAUCAUAAUCUGCAAAUGGGAGUUAGUCUGCUUUGCUUUGAGGACUCGGUGAUGAACCAGAGCUGGGGUCAGGACCUGGUCCUGGGGCGCCAGGCUGAGCAUCUCACUCAGCUCCGUGUCUUCUGGCUGCGUGCCGUGCCGUGUGGUCCCCGUCACUCGGCUUCUCUGCACCCUGCCUUCCUCACCUAUGAAAUCCGGAAAACACCACCCAGUCUGCAGCCUCGUGGGAGAUUAGAGACACAGCAGAGAAACACAUAGGAACCCCUGCUAAGUGGGAGCCCUUGUCACGUGAUUUCCCCUUCUUUUUUAUUUGCUAAUUUGAAGUUUGGGGUCAGAGGCCGUCUGGUUGUCUGUAAUGCCACAGGGAGAGGUCCAGGUGACCCAGCACUGGCCACAGGCUCUCUCCCUGCCUCCGUCCUGUCUCCAGACUCCCCAGAGCACGUAGCUUUAGGUCUUCAGCUCAGAGCAGGUAAACUUUCAGCCUUCCCAGAGCUGCAUCAUCAGGGUGGGGGUGGGGAGGUCCCCUCGAUGAGCGCCAGACUCGUAGUAUGGAAUGUCCCAGAGAAGAGGUCCUUCCUGACCUCCACCCCUGCAGCGAAUCUACCCCGGUGUCCCUCAGCCUCCAGGGACAGCAGUCAUCUGGGGAGCUUGCUGAAAUGCAGACUUUGGGUAAGAGGAUCUGGGUGGGGCGUCCACGUGGCUGACAAGCUGUCAGGUGACACGCAGCCUGCUGGUCCAGGGGACUCGUUGUGAAUGAGAAAGUUCUAAACUCCCCACAUCAGAGAUUUUCUCAAAUUUGUUAAGACCCCUGUUAGGGGCCAGUUCCUGUAACAUUGGGCCCUCAAACGACUUUGGCUUGGGCCCUUUUGGAGUUCUUUUUCUGGGACAGGAUCCAAACCAUCCAUUUUCAUUGACCUCGGCUUCAUUGUAAGAUGGAGAGGCUGGAAACUCCUGGGUCGUUUUCAGGGAUGGAACGCGGCACACUUCCUUCCUUCCGAAGUGGGACAGAUCAGGGAAGAUGCACACUUGCAUCAGUACCAAUUGUCAUCAGCCGAAUUCUAUUCAGUGGAUUUGAAUCUUCUAUGAGCUUAAGGAUCCGCAUGAUUCAGUUGUAUUAAGAAAAAUGCAUAACAUCUAUCAGAACUGAUUGUCAGAAAUAGUUUAACACCCUGAUCGGAAAAUCAGGGAUUUGUUUAUGAGUGAGUUCAGAAGCUUGCUGUCUUAUGUAAUCAUCAAAAAUUACAAUGGGGCGCCUGGAUGGCUCAGUCGAUUAAGCGUCCAACUUCUGAUCAGGUCAUGAUCUCACUGCGAGCUUGA